UACGUAGGUGGCAAGCGUUGUCCGGAUUUACUGGGCGUAAAGAGCGCGCAGGCGGUCGGAUAAGUCGAAUGUGAAAGCCCCCGGCUCAACUGGGGAGGGUCAUUCGAUACUGUUCGACUCGAAGGCAGGAGAGGGAAGUGGAAUUCCCGGUGUAGUGGUGAAAUGCGUAGAUAUCUGGAGGAACACCGGUGGCGAAGGCGGCAUCCUGGACCAAUAUUGACGCUGAGGAGCGAAAGCCAGGGGAGCAAACGGG
rnacentral:rRNA from 1 species